UUCCAGCUCCAAUAGCGUAUAUUAAAGUUGUUGCGGUUAAAAAGCUCGUAGUUGGUUCUGCGUGCCGCGCUGUCGGUUCGCCGCCUGUCGGUGUUACUGGCAUGUCGCGGCAUGUCCUGUCGGUGGUGAAUGAAAUCCCCGGUGCUACGUAGGCUUUUAUUAGCUGAAGUUUGUGCCGUGGUGACUUCAUUUGCCGAUUUCUCCUACUCCGGUGCUCUUAAACGAGUGUCGAGGUAGGCCGACACGUUCACUUUGAACAAAUUAGAGUGCUUAAAGCAGGCUAAAAUAUCUGCCUGAAUAGUGGUGCAUGGAAUAAUAAAAUAGGACCUCGGUUCUAUUUUAUUGGUUUUAGGAAUAUGAGGUAAUGAUCAAUGUGGACUGGCGGGGGCAUUCGUAUUGCGACGUUAGAGGUGAAAUUCUUGGAUCGUCGCAAGACGCACUAGAGCGAAAGCAUUUGCCAAGUAUGUCUUAAUUGAUCAAGAACGAAAGUUAGAGGUUCGAAGGCGAUCAGAUACCGCCCUAGUUCUAACCAUAAACGAUGCCAGCCAGCGAUCCGCCGAUGUUCCUUUAAUGACUCGGCGGGGAGCUUCUA
rnacentral:rRNA from 1 species